rnacentral:rRNA from 1 species
GAUGAACGCUGGCGGCGUGCUUAACACAUGCAAGUCGAACGAAGCAUUUAAGACAGAUUACUUCGGUUUGAAGUCUUUUAUGACUGAGUGGCGGACGGGUGAGUAACGCGUGGGUAACCUGCCUCAUACAGGGGGAUAGCAGCUGGAAACGGCUGGUAAUACCGCAUAAGCGCACAGUACCACAUGGUACAGUGUGAAAAACUCCGGUGGUAUGAGAUGGACCCGCGUCUGAUUAGCUUGUUGGCGGGGUAACGGCCCACCAAGGCGACGAUCAGUAGCCGACCUGAGAGGGUGACCGGCCACAUUGGGACUGAGACACGGCCCAGACUCCUACGGGAGGCAGCAGUGGGGAAUAUUGCACAAUGGAGGAAGCGCUGAUGCAGCGACGCCGCGUGAGUGAAGAAGUAGUUCGCUAUGUAAAGCUCUAUCAGCAGGGAAGAUAGUGACGGUACCUGACUAAGAAGCUCCGGCUAAAUACGUG